AGUGAACGCUGGCGGUAGGCCUAACACAUGCAAGUCGAACGGCAGCACAGUAAGAGCUUGCUCUUACGGGUGGCGAGUGGCGGACGGGUGAGGAAUACAUCGGAAUCUACUUUUUCGUGGGGGAUAACGUAGGGAAACUUACGCUAAUACCGCAUACGACCUACGGGUGAAAGCAGGGGAUCUUCGGACCUUGCGCGAUUGAAUGAGCCGAUGUCGGAUUAGCUAGUUGGCGGGGUAAAGGCCCACCAAGGCGACGAUCCGUAGCUGGUCUGAGAGGAUGGUCGGCCACACUGGAACUGAGACACGGUCCAGACUCCUACGGGAGGCAGCAGUGGGGAAUAUUGGACAAUGGGCGCAAGCCUGAUCCAGCCAUACCGCGUGGGUGAAGAAGGCCUUCGGGUUGUAAAGCCCUUUUGCUGGGAAAGAAAAGCAGCAGGUUAAUACCCCGCUGUUCUGACGGUACCCAAAGAAUAAGCACCGGCUAACUUCGUG
rnacentral:rRNA from 1 species